rnacentral:rRNA from 1 species
AGUGAACGCUGGCGGUAGGCCUAACACAUGCAAGUCGAACGGCAGCACAGUAAGAGCUUGCUCUUACGGGUGGCGAGUGGCGGAUGGGUGAGGAAUACAUCGGAAUCUACUUUUUCGUGGGGGUGAACGUAGGGAAAUUUACGCUAAUACCGCAUACGACCUCCGGGUGAAAGCUGGGGAUCUUUGUACCUUGCGCGUUUGAUCGAGCCGUUUUCGGAUUAGCUAGUUGGCGGGGUAAAGGCCCACCAAGGCGACGAUCCGUAGCUGGUCUGAGAGGAUGAUCAGCCACACUGGAACUGAGACACGGUCCAGAGUCCUACGGGAGGCAGCAGUGGGGAAUAUUGGACAAUGGGCGCAAGCAUGAUCCAGUCAUACCGCGUGGGUGGAGAAGGCCUUCGGGUUGUAAAGACCUUUUGUUGGGAGAGAAAAGCAGCAGGUUAAUACGCAGCUGUUCUGACGGUACCCAAAGAAUAAGCACCGGCUAACUUCGUG